UUGGAAGCUUCCAAUAAUGCUUGUAUAAGCGACACAAAGUACCUCAAUAUUUGCACCAAUCCUCAACAAGUCCUAUCCAAUGACCCAAGAACCUGCUCUAGAAACGUCAGUCACAAUCAACAUACAUUGGACAGAGUAAACACUGACAUUAACAACUUUUAGGGUAACGAUACUCACAUAGGAAAAGAGUUGAAGCAGAAUUGGACCCGUAACAAUGAGAAAAGGAAGACGAAGGGGGACAACAUUAACAAAGAUGGUGAAAAAAUAGACAUAACAAAAGAUAAAAGGAAGGAAGAGAAUACUCAGCUAGGGGAACGUAAGGAUCAGUUCGUCAAGAAAAAUGAGGGUAACAACAAUAGUAGUGUGCAUAGUCUGGGAAGCCAAAUGGAGAGAGAUGAUAAUUAACUUAGCAUCCAACAUGAAAAGCUCAUAAAUAAGGAGGAAACUAACUUGAAAAGGAAUGUAAAUAUCAAUCAGGAGG
rnacentral:lncRNA from 1 species